UAGGCCUACGGGGCGCAGCAGUGGGGAAUAUUGCACAAUGGGGGGAACCCUGAUGAAGCGACGCCGCGUGGGUGAAGAAGUCAUUCGUGACGUAAAGCCCUAUCAGCAGGGAAGAAAAUGACGGUACCUGACUAGGAAGCCCCGGCUAACUACGUGCCAGCAGCCGCGGUAAUACGUAGGGGGCAAGCGUUAUCCGGAUUUACUGGGUGUAAAGGGAGCGUAGACGGCGGCGCAAGUCCGGAGUGAGAGCCCACGGCCCAACCGUGGGACUGCUCUGGAAACUGUGCGGCUUGCGU
rnacentral:rRNA from 1 species